rnacentral:rRNA from 1 species
GACAGAGGGGGCAAGCGUUGCUCGGAAUCACUGGGCGUAAAGGGCGCGUAGGCGGGAUGGCAAGUCGGUCGUGAAAUCCUUCGGCUCAACCGAAGAACGUCGGCCGAUACUGCCGUUCUUGAGGGAUGCAGAGGAGAUUGGAAUUCCCGGUGUAGCGGUGAAAUGUGUAGAGAUCGGGAGGAACACCGGUGGCGAAGGCGGGUCGCUGGACCGGAACUGACGCUGAGGCGCGAAAGCGUGGGGAGCAAACAGG